rnacentral:rRNA from 1 species
GACGAACGCUGGCGGCGUGCUUAACACAUGCAAGUCGAACGGAAAGGCCCUGCUUUUGUGGGGUGCUCGAGUGGCGAACGGGUGAGUAACACGUGAGUAACCUGCCCUUGACUUUGGGAUAACUUCAGGAAACUGGGGCUAAUACCGGAUAGGAGCUCCUGCUGCUUGGUGGGGGUUGGAAAGUUUCGGCGGUUGGGGAUGGACUCGCGGCUUAUCAGCUUGUUGGUGGGGUAGUGGCUUACCAAGGCUUUGACGGGUAGCCGGCCUGAGAGGGUGACCGGCCACAUUGGGACUGAGAUACGGCCCAGACUCCUACGGGAGGCAGCAGUGGGGAAUAUUGCACGAUGGGCGGAAGCCUGAUGCAGCAAUGCCGCGUGCUGGAUGACUGCCUUCGGGUUGUAAACCGCUUUCGCCUGUGACGAAGCGUGAGUGACGGUAAUGGGUAAAGAAGCACCGGCUAACUACGUG